GCCGGUGUGAUCGAAUUGGUAUAGAUAGCGGACUUAAAAUCCGCCGCCCGUAAGGGAUUGUGGGAUCGAGGCCCACCACCGGCA
rnacentral:tRNA from 1 species